rnacentral:rRNA from 4 species
GUUUCCGUAGGUGAACCUGCGGAAGGAUCAUUAU